rnacentral:rRNA from 1 species
AGCGAACGCUGGCGGCAGGCUUAACACAUGCAAGUCGAGCGGGCGUAGCAAUACGUCAGCGGCAGACGGGUGAGUAACGCGUGGGAACGUACCUUUUGGUUCGGAACAACCCAGGGAAACUUGGGCUAAUACCGGAUAAGCCCUUACGGGGAAAGAUUUAUCGCCGAAAGAUCGGCCCGCGUCUGAUUAGCUAGUUGGUGAGGUAACGGCUCACCAAGGCGACGAUCAGUAGCUGGUCUGAGAGGAUGAUCAGCCACAUUGGGACUGAGACACGGCCCAAACUCCUACGGGAGGCAGCAGUGGGGAAUAUUGGACAAUGGGCGCAAGCCUGAUCCAGCCAUGCCGCGUGAGUGAUGAAGGCCCUAGGGUUGUAAAGCUCUUUUGUGCGGGAAGAUAAUGACGGUACCGCAAGAAUAAGCCCC